CAGCCGUUCCAGCUGAGGUCAUCCUGGACCAAUUGGUUCCCAGCUGACCUGGCAGCUGAGUACAGAUGCAUUGACUGAGUCCAGCCAAGGCCAGAACUACACAGCAGCUAUGCUUAGCCCAACUUUCUGACCUGCAGAAUUCCUUCCUUAUUGCAGAGAGUGGCAAUUCCUUCUUUUUGCUGAAGCUGGAUGUUGACUCACCCCGGAAUCAGGGUGAUGAUAAAGCUUCACCUGUUUGAAAACGUUUUUGCUUUUAUAUUCCUGUGACAUGCUCUAGGCCACAGGAUUGCAAAGAAUACUAAGGCAACAGUAAACUGAAAAUAAUGAAUGCAGCUCUAUUCAUGGAAAACACAUUCACAAUACUAUUUUGGAGAAGAAUCUAUGAAACUGUGAGAUUUUGUCUCACCCAAAGCUGCCUUCUGAGCUAAGCUG